rnacentral:ncRNA from 2 species
CGACGCCGCACGGGAGAGCUUCGACCACGGUCCGACCGUAGCCGGUCGCGGCACGGGUCGAGCGCCGAAGGAGCAGCACCUCUCCGUCAAUCUCUCAGGCCCCCGGACCGUGCGGGCUCC